AGAGAGAGAGAGAGAGAGAGAGAGAGAGAGAGAGGACACUGAGAACAACUAACUAAAAAACAAUUGAGUUACGUGAUAUCUCUCAAUAACCCUCUCCCUCUCUCUCUCUCUCUCUCUCUCUCUCUCUCUCUCUCUCUCUCUCUCUCUCUCUCUCUCUCUUUCCUGCAUAGCCACACUCAAGGGAGAGGCAGCGAGGAGAGCACAGGUGAGCUACUGCAGGUAAAACUCAUCAAGAGGACCUAACCUAACGAGCCCAGAAGGAAGGAAAAUAACUGGGAAAUUUAACUGAAGCUGCAACCACCACCACCACCACCACCACCACCACCACCACUACUAC